GAUGAACGCUGGCGGCGUGCCUAAUACAUGCAAGUCGAGCGGACGGACGAGAAGCUUGCGUCUCUGAUGUUGGCGGAGGACGGGAGAGUAACACGUGGAUAACCUACCUAUAAGACUGGGAAAACUUCGGGAAACCGGAGCUAAUACCGGAUGAUAUUUUGAACCGCAUGGUUCAAAAGUGAAAGACGGUCUUGCUGUCACGUAUAGAUGGAUCCGCGCUGCAUUAGCUAGUUGGUAAGGUAACGGCUUACCAAGGCAACGAUGCAUAGCCGACCUGAUAGGGUGAUCGCCCACACUGGAGCGUAGCCACCGUCCAUACUCCUACGGUACGCAGCAGUAUGCAACCGUCCGCAGAGGUCGAAAGCCUUACAGAGCAGCGCCGCGUGAGUUGUGAAGGUCCUCCGAUCGUGAUGCUCUGUUUCUAGUUGUGAACAUAUGUCUACGUAACUGUGCACAUCUUGACGGUACCUAAUCAGAAAGCCCCGGCUAACUACGUG
rnacentral:rRNA from 1 species